rnacentral:snRNA from 1 species
UUGAAAUCUCUCCAAAAGAGCUCCUCGAAGCUCAUCCCGAUGCCCGUUAUCUUGCACUCGUGGUCUUCGCCUAUUCCGGCC